rnacentral:lncRNA from 1 species
AGGAAACUCCUGCCAUCGGCCAGGUGCCGCCCGCGCGUAACCACGCGUGUGACAGUGGCGAACCGGUUUCGGUCACCAACUGCUCGGGCGCACGAAGCCUGGAACAGAAACAGGAAAGGCAAGGGGGAAGCAAAGGGAUUUUCCAGACAUUGACUUCAACGGGAUGUGGGCAGAGGGCCAGCAGUGCGGCAAAGUUCGACGUGUCGUAUACUUCGCUCCACUGGUGUAUGUUUCGUUGCCUCAGGUUGGGCGGUUGCCACGGACGAAUGACGUGGAAAGGAGACGCUGGCCGAUUGCGUUUGAGCGGUAGGCGUCGUUUCGAGUAUAAAGCUGCGACGUGCAGAGACAGGCGUGUCUGUUAAGCCGCACGUCAGAAUGACGAGCGUAUUCUUCUAGUAUCCCUGUUCGCCUCCGAACUGCCUCGUCGUCUGUCCCAGUACGUUCUCUAUCGCUGUUUUGUUCAUUCUCACACGACAGAACGGCUCGCAAAAAGGCUGUCUCUCUCCUGCGCAACUAUGGCUGUAGGAACACAGACGGGUUUGUGAAAGACGCAGGGAUCGAGGCAACAGAGUGUUGCGUAAGGUGGGAGAGGGAAGCGCCAGAGAAGGCUGCAGCGCGUUCUACUUGCGCCGUCAAGUCGUCAGAGACACGCCAGUCGAUGGGGGAAGAAGACUCAGAGGAGUGGUGGAAAAAAAGUCGAGGAACCUGAGGACAAAGCUACGGGAAGCUGUCAAAACACUCAUGCUCGAGUGGGAAUCAUUCGAUUCUCUCGGCGGGUACACAGGAGAUCUUUUGAAUGCAAGUCCCGUCUCUACCUCCCGACAGGCACUUCCUGGUGUGCUCGGGUGUUGACAUGGUGAGGGAACUUGCCAACUAGCGAGGCCACAAGCGUCGUCUCGGUUACAAUUGACACGACUGGCGGAAAGUCUACGCAUCCAGAAUCGCUCUACCCUCGGCUGUGCGGCAGUCCGCGCGUGGAACUAUAGGUGUGAAGCAACGACUACUGCUCGGGUAGGCAUCGCCUGAGCAUAAAUCUGUGCAGUUGGACGUGGCGUACCGAAACAACCCUGUCAUAUUUGAUCUACCUCACAGCAUGCUUCUGAUCUCUCUCUCCCUAUAUAUAUAUAUACACGUGUAUCUGACAAAUAGGGACGUAGCCAGGAACACGUUGGCUCGUCGUUCUUUUUCAUUUCGGAGCAUUUGUUUCCCUCAUGUCGCAG